rnacentral:rRNA from 1 species
GGGCAGCAGUGGGGAAUUUUGGACAAUGGGCGCAAGCCUGAUCCAGCCAUGCCGCGUGAGUGAAGAAGGCCUUCGGGUUGUAAAGCUCUUUCAGCUGGAAAGAAACGGUACGCACUAACAUUGUGUGCUAAUGACGGUACCAGCAGAAGAAGCACCGGCUAACUACGUGCCAGCAGCCGCGGUAAUACGUAGGGUGCGAGCGUUAAUCGGAAUUACUGGGCGUAAAGCGUGCGCAGGCGGAUUGUUAAGCAAGAUGUGAAAUCCCCGGGCUUAACCUGGGAAUGGCAUUUUGAACUGGCAGUCUAGAGUGUGUCAGAGGGGGGUGGAAUUCCACGUGUAGCAGUGAAAUGCGUAGAGAUGUGGAGGAACACCGAUGGCGAAGGCAGCCCCCUGGGAUAACACUGACGCUCAUGUACGAAAGCGUGGGUAGCAAACAGGAUUAGAUACCCCGGUAGUC